GCCGAUUUAGCUCAGUUGGUAGAGCACCGCACUCGUAACGCGAAGGUCACAGGUUCAACCCCUGCAAUCGGCA
rnacentral:tRNA from 1 species